AUGCUAGAAUUUUUGAAUUUAUCACAUAAUCAGUUCACUGGCAGCAUUCCAUCCUCCUUUGCAAGCAUGGUGAGCCUUUCAACGCUUGAUGUGUCCUACAAUUACUUGGAAGGACCAGUCCCAACAGUCAGGCAACUCCAAAACGCUUCAGCAAGUUGGUUUCUUCCCAAUAAAGGUCUGUGUGGUAACCUCUCUGGCCUGCCACCUUGUUGUUCAACCCAAGUAGCUGCUCACCAAAAAGGGAAGAUACCUGGUUUUCUUUUGCCAAUUGUUCUUGUGAUGGGUUUUGGCAUUAUUGCUGCAAUUGUUAUCAUAAUAAUACUUACUCGUAAGAAGAGAAAACCACAGGAAAGCGUCACCGCUGAAGCAAGGGACCUAUUCUCUGUUUGGAAUUUUGAUGGAAGAUUAGCAUUUGACGAUAUUGUAAGGGCAACAGAAGACUUCGAUGAUAAGUACAUCAUUGGAACAGGAGGAUACGGGAAAGUCUAUAAGGCACAGCUCCAAGAUGGGCAGCUAGUUGCUGUGAAGAAGCUUCAUCAGACCGAAAAAGAGUUGGAUGAUGAAAGUAGAUUUUGUAGUGAAAUGGAAAUCUUAACACAGAUCCGACAACGAAGCAUCGUCAAAAUGUAUGGAUUCUGCUCCCAUCCAACAUAUAAAUUUCUCGUCUAUGACUACAUUCAGCAGGGAAGCCUCCACGGAAUAUUGGAAAAUCAGGAGGUAGCAAAGGAAUUAGAUUGGACGAAGAGAAUUGCUCUUGCAAUAGAUGUGGCUCAAGCAAUAUCUUAUUUGCACCACGAAUGCAGUCCACCUAUAAUCCAUCGAGAUAUCACAAGCAACAACAUUUUACUUGAUACAUCCUUUAAGGCUUUUGUCUCGGAUUUUGGCACGGCAAGGAUUCUUAAGCCCGAUUCAUCAAACUGGAGUGCACUAGCAGGAACGUAUGGCUACAUCGCUCCUGAACUAUCAUACACAUCUGUUGUGACAGAGAAAUGUGAUGUUUAUAGCUUUGGGGUGGUUGUGUUAGAGCUAGUGAUGGGCAAGCAUCCAAGGGAUUUAUUAGAUGGUAGUCUUUCUAACGGCGAACAAUCAAUGAUGGUGAAAGAUAUUCUGGACCAACGGCCAACGGCACCAAUAUCAACUGAAGAGAAUAGCUUAGCUCUGCUCAUCAAGCUGGCCUUAUCUUGUUUGGAAUCUUCUCCCCAAGGAAGGCCAACCAUGCAGGAGGCAUACCAAACACUCAUCCAGCCAUCUUCUAGUUCAACUACCGUGCCUUUCAGUGCACUUACAUUACAGCAAGGGAUGCAUGUUGACACAAGGUCUGAAUCCUAG
rnacentral:rRNA from 1 species